CCUACGGGAGGCAGCAGUGAGGAAUAUUGGUCAAUGGGCGGGAGCCUGAACCAGCCAAGUCGCGUGAGGGAAGACGGUCCUAUGGAUUGUAAACCUCUUUAGGCGGGGAGCAAUGCCGGGCACGUGUGCCCGGAGGGAGAGUACCCGCAGAAUAAGCAUCGGCUAACUCCGUGCCAGCAGCCGCGGUAAUACGGAGGAUGCGAGCGUUAUCCGGAUUGAUUGGGUUAAAAGGGUGCGUAGGCGGAUUUUUAAGUCAGCGGUAAAAUGUCCGGGCUCAACCCGGGCCGGCCGUUGAAACUGGGGAUCUUGAGUGUGCGAGAAGUAUGCGGAAUGCGUGGUGUAGCGGUGAAAUGCAUAGAUAUCACGCAGAACACCGAUUGCGAAGGCAGCAUACCGGCGCCCGACUGACGCUGAGGCACGAAAGCGUGGGGAUCGAACAGGAUUAGAUACCCGAGUAGUC
rnacentral:rRNA from 1 species